rnacentral:rRNA from 1 species
ACGCUCGACACCUACGGGAGAGAGCAGUGGGGAAUAUUGCACAAUGGGGGAAACCCUGAUGCAGCGACGCCGCGUGAAGGAAGAAGUAUCUCGGUAUGUAAACUUCUAUCAGCAGGGAAGAAAAUGACGGUACCUGACUAAGAAGCCCCGGCUAACUACGUGUCAGCAGCCGCGGUAAUCUGAGCGGGCUGGCAAGGC